UUGUACAGUUAAGGAAUUUAGUUAGGUUCCGUGUAGUUACCCGAGGUUCAUUUUGAAUCGUUUGUGAAUGUUUUUAUUUUGGUCUUGGUGGUGUUUCAGCAAGAAGAAUCUGAAGUUGGUUUGCCUGGAGGAAACGGUCAGCUCUUGACACUAGGGCUUGGAUUGUUAGCCACAGCAUUGACUGCUGCUUAUGUAACACGACUAGCAAAGGAUGCUGUAAAAGAUAUCGAUUAGGUGACGGGUUCUGUCUGCCCAUGAAGUCUGCACAAUGUAUUUGAAACUUCAAAAA